rnacentral:rRNA from 1 species
GGGUUGUGAGGUUAAGCGACUAAGCGUACACGGUGGAUGCCCUGGCAGUCAGAGGCGAUGAAGGACGUGCUAAUCUGCGAUAAGCGUCGGUAAGGUGAUAUGAACCGUUAUAACCGGCGAUUUCCGAAUGGGGAAACCCAGUGUGUUUCGACACACUAUCAUUAACUGAAUCCAUAGGUUAAUGAGGCGAACCGGGGGAACUGAAACAUCUAAGUACCCCGAGGAAAAGAAAUCAACCGAGAUUCCCCCAGUAGCGGCGAGCGAACGGGGAGGAGCCCAGAGCCUGAAUCAGUGUGUGUGUUAGUGGAAGCGUCUGGAAAGGCGCGCGAUACAGGGUGACAGCCCCGUACACAAAAAUGCACAUGCUGUGAGCUCGAUGAGUAGGGCGGGACACGUGGUAUCCUGUCUGAAUAUGGGGGGACCAUCCUCCAAGGCUAAAUACUCCUGACUGACCGAUAGUGAACCAGUACCGUGAGGGAAAGGCGAAAAGAACCCCGGCGAGGGGAGUGAAAAAGAACCUGAAACCGUGUACGUACAAGCAGUGGGAGCACGCUUAGGCGUGUGACUGCGUACCUUUUGUAUAAUGGGUCAGCGACUUAUAUUCUGUAGCAAGGUUAACCGAAUAGGGGAGCCGAAGGGAAACCGAGU